GAAGGUAUAGCUCAAGUGGUAGAGCAUGUGCUUAGCAUGCACGAGGUCCUAGGUUCAAUCCCUGGUACCUCCA
rnacentral:tRNA from 1 species